rnacentral:rRNA from 1 species
UACGAAGGGGGCGAGCGUUGUUCGGAAUCACUGGGCGUAAAGGGCGCGUAGGCGGCCCUCCUUGUCGCGUGUGAAAGCCCCGGGCUCAACCUGGGAACGGCGCGCGAGACGGGGGGGCUGGAGUUCGGGAGAGGAGCGUGGAAUUCCCAGUGUAGAGGUGAAAUUCGUAGAUAUUGGGAAGAACACCGGUGGCGAAAGGCGGCGCUCUGGACCGAGACUGACGCUGAGGCGCGAAGCGUGGGGAGCAAACAGG